rnacentral:rRNA from 1 species
GCGAAAAGAACCCCGGCGAGGGGAGUGAAAAAGAACCUGAAACCGUGUACGUACAAGCAGUGGGAGCACAGGUUUACCUGUGUGACUGCGUACCUUUUGUAUAAUGGGUCAGCGACUUAUAUUCUGUAGCAAGGUUAACCGAAUAGGGGAGCCGCAGGGAAACCGAGUCUUAAUUGGGCGUUAAGUUGCAGGGUAUAGACCCGAAACCCGGUGAUCUAGCCAUGGGCAGGUUGAAGGUUGGGUAACACUAACUGGAGGACCGAACCGACUAAUGUUGAAAAAUUAGCGGAUGACCUGUGGCUGGGGGUGAAAGGCCAAUCAAACCGGGAGAUAGCUGGUUCUCCCCGAAAGCUAUUUAGGUAGCGCCUCGUGAAUUCAUCUCCGGGGGUAGAGCACUGUUUCGGCUAGGGGGCCAUCCCGGCUUACCAACCCGAUGCAAACUGCGAAUACCGGAGAAUGUUAUCACGGGAGACACACGGCGGGUGCUAACGUCCGUCGUGAAGAGGGAAACAACCCAGACCGCCAGCUAAGGUCCCAAAGUCAUGGUUAAGUGGGAAACGAUGUGGGAAGGCCCAGACAGCCAGGAUGUUGGCUUAGAAGCAGCCAUCAUUUAAAGAAAGCGUAAUAGCUCACUGGUCGAGUCGGCCUGCGCGGAAGAUGUAACGGGGCUAAACCAUGCACCGAAGCUGCGGCAGCGACGCUGAUGCGUUGUUGGGUAGGGGAGCGUUCUGUAAGCCUG